rnacentral:lncRNA from 1 species
AAAAAGUUAAAGAAAGCAACAAGAAACGUCCUCAAGAUGCUAAGACAUGUCCUUAUUAUCACCGCCUUGAUCUUCUUUACCGCAGCAAAGUACUCGGUAGUGGUGCCGGUUCUAGCACUUCUGCUCUACCUCAAGACCAAAUAUCAAAUAUACAAAAGCAGAGUCCGGUCUCUGCAAUGAAGCCGUCACAAGAAGGGGAUGUUAACGUCCAUCAAGGAGAAGAACCAAGAGAGGAAACUCCACAAGGAGCGGAGAAGGUACAAACUUGGCUUAUCAUUUUCAAAAUGUGAAUUGGUUUUGUUUCUUAACAGCUAAAAAUCUUGAUUUGUUGGAAUUGAAGCCAGAAGACCUUGUGAUGAGAGAGCUGAUGCAACAAAAACAACAACAAGAAGAAGAUUCAAUGAUAGGCGAGUAUGAAAAGAUUGAGGCGUCUCACAACUAUAACAUGGAAGAAGAAGAGAUGGAUGAAGAACUAGACGAGGAUGAGAAAUCCGCGGCUUAUGAGAUUGCAUUUCAGAGCCCUGCAAACAGAGGAGGUAAUGGCCACUCUGAGCCACCUUUCUUGACAAUGGUUCAGUAAAUCAGAAUCACUGUUCUUCAAAUUAUACCCUUGUACCAAGAAAAUGUACUUAUGUGUGCAUAGCUUCUAAACAACACCAAAAACCUCAAAAACACACACACAUCUGACCCAAGAAACUGAAAAUCGAGGUCUCAUCAAUCUUGAUUUUCCAGUGAAUACAAUUCUUUCUUUCACAUUAUUUCCCUUGUUCCUUUUCUUUCUCAGUCUCUUGUUUGUUUCUCUGUUCAUUGUUUUCUUCUUCAGCACACACACCCCCCCACCCACAUAAACAAAAACUCUAGCUAAAGGUCUUUUAGUUUAUUUGGAGUUGUAAUUCAUCAGCAAGUCUCAUACUUUUUCUCUUCUUAAAACAUUUGUUGAUUGGUUAAUUGGGGAAUAAAAGAGUCUUUUAUCUUCUCAAUUCCCCGUUUUCUCUCUAACCCAAACGCCACCACCGUCCCAACCGCUUCCACCGCACACAGUCUCCUUUACUCCCAAUCCAUUGCCUCCUCCUCCUCCUCCUUCAGUAGAUCCCCCAUUUCCCGGAGGUACCUUCUCUUCUCACAGCUCAUCGACGGCUUCAGGAAUGGGGUCUGAUGAUGACGACGACAUGGACGUGGAUCAGGCGGGUCCCAGUAGCCACAAACGCAAACGUGAAAACCGAGGCACUGGAGGCGGCAAGAUGAUGGAACUAUUCCAAGGUUUGGUGAGACAAGUGAUGCAGAAACAAGCGGCGAUGCAACGGAGCUUUCUCGAGGCGCUUGAGAAGAGAGAACAAGAACGUCUUGCUCGAGAAGAAGCUUGGAAACGCCAAGAGAUGUCUCGGUUAGCUCGAGAGCACGAGAUCAUGACUCAAGAACGAGCGGCUUCUUCUUCCCGUGACGCUGCAAUCAUCUCGUUGAUCCAGAAAAUUACUGGCCAUACCAUUCAGUUACCUCCUUCUUUAUCAUCACAACCGUCUCCGCCGCCACCUGCCGCUAAACAUCCUUCAUCACAAGCUGUAGAACCACCUCAUUCUCAACCAAUAAUGGCGAUUCCACAACAACAAGUUCUUCCUCCUCCUCAACCACCACCACCACAACAACAACAACAAGAGAUGAUUAUGAGCUCGGAUCAAUCGUUACCGUCAUCAUCGAGAUGGCCAAAGGAGGAGAUUCUUGCUCUUAUAAACCUGAGGAGCGGAAUGGAACCAAGGUACCAAGAUAAUGUCCCUAAAGGACUUUUAUGGGAAGAGAUCUCAUCUUCAAUGAAGAGAAUGGGAUACAACAGAAACGCAAAGAGAUGCAAAGAGAAAUGGGAAAACAUAAACAAAUACUACAAAAAAGUUAAAGAAAGCAACAAGAAACGUCCUCAAGAUGCUAAGACAUGUCCUUAUUAUCACCGCCUUGAUCUUCUUUACCGCAGCAAAGUACUCGGUAGUGGUGCCGGUUCUAGCACUUCUGCUCUACCUCAAGACCAAAUAUCAAAUAUACAAAAGCAGAGUCCGGUCUCUGCAAUGAAGCCGUCACAAGAAGGGGAUGUUAACGUCCAUCAAGGAGAAGAACCAAGAGAGGAAACUCCACAAGGAGCGGAGAAGGUACAAACUUGGCUUAUCAUUUUCAAAAUGUGAAUUGGUUUUGUUUCUUAACAGCUAAAAAUCUUGAUUUGUUGGAAUUGAAGCCAGAAGACCUUGUGAUGAGAGAGCUGAUGCAACAAAAACAACAACAAGAAGAAGAUUCAAUGAUAGGCGAGUAUGAAAAGAUUGAGGCGUCUCACAACUAUAACAUGGAAGAAGAAGAGAUGGAUGAAGAACUAGACGAGGAUGAGAAAUCCGCGGCUUAUGAGAUUGCAUUUCAGAGCCCUGCAAACAGAGGAGGUAAUGGCCACUCUGAGCCACCUUUCUUGACAAUGGUUCAGUAAAUCAGAAUCACUGUUCUUCAAAUUAUACCCUUGUACCAAGAAAAUGUACUUAUGUGUGCAUAGCUUCUAAACAACACCAAAAACCUCAAAAACACACACACAUCUGACCCAAGAAACUGAAAAUCGAGGUCUCAUCAAUCUUGAUUUUCCAGUGAAUACAAUUCUUUCUUUCACAUUAUUUCCCUUGUUCCUUUUCUUUCUCAGUCUCUUGUUUGUUUCUCUGUUCAUUG